rnacentral:lncRNA from 1 species
CAUUGCUUCAACUAAAACGCCACUAUUUUGACGAGAUUUUUCUACAUCUUUAGUGUGAAAUCGAAAACCAUUUAUAACAAAACUAGAAUAUGACAUUGAUUAAUAUCUAGGACCACGUGCAAGCCACUUCAAAUUGUUCGAAACUUUAUUCGUCAAUAGCUGAAUUUGAAUCUGUUAUUAUGUUAAAAAUGUUAGAAAUAAAAGAACAAAUAGCACAACUUUGAGACAUUUAUUUGUUGAUGUGUAUUCCAACCAUAUCACCUAACCAGGCAGCAAAAAGCAUCAAUGUGCUUCUUGUUCAAUAAAGUCUCAUUUCUUUCGAGUCGUUUGUUAAAACUCUUCAAUUCAUCCAUAUGCAUCCUAAGGUAAAUAAAAUAUAUCAAAAAAUAUGGUUAACUACUUAAAAUUAUUGAACUCUAUAUUUAAUAAACGUACUCUAUGUAUGGUUGAACUUCUGUAGUAUUCAGUAACACGUAGCGAUGAGCAACUUUCAACAUCUCAUUGGAUAGUAUAUUGCCUUCCCUUUAGAAAUUGUACGCCCUGCAACUAGGAAAUUAGUCUCAUAUUCUUCAUUGCGUACAGGCUUAGAUCUUAUUUUAGAUGCUUGUGUUACGUAUUUGCUGCAAAACUUCGCAUUUUCUUCAACAAUAUGUCGUUCAGCUAUGCACCCUUCACGCCGUCUACGAUUCAUAACAUACCCUUUCAACACUUUCAUAUAUCUCUCAAAUGGGUACAUCCAACAAUAUUAUACUGGUCCACAUAGACGAACUUCUCUCCCAAUAUGGAUUGUUAAAUGAACCAUUAUAUCAAAAAAUGAAGACAGGAAGUACCUUUCCAACAUGCAUAAACUUUCAGAAAUGUCAACCCUAAUUAUUCAACCUUAUUUCUAUCUACAAUUCCUUGACAUAUUUCCUUAAAAAAUGAACUCAAUUUAAAAAUGGAAUUCCUUGAUCCUUUAGGUAGAAGCCCUCUCAAUGCAGCUGAUAAUAAUUGUUGCAUUAACAUAUGACAAUCAUGAGACUUCAACCCAGCUAUCUUACAUUCUUCCACCAAUAUGCAAUUUCCAAUAUUAGAUCCAUAGCCAUCGGGUAAUCUCAAGUUAGCAAGCCUUUUGCAAAAUAUUUUCUUUUCUGCUUUUGAUAAGGUGUGAGGAGCAGCUGGUAGAUAAAACUUAUUUCCUCUACUCUGAGGAUGUAAAUCGUGCCUAAUAUUCAUUUCUUCCAUGUCCUUACGAGAGUUAAUGCCAUCUUUAGAUUUUCCUUUGACAUCCAAAAGUGUACUGAUGAUGCUUUCACAAAUAUUCUUCUCCACAUGCAUCACAUCCAAAUUAUGAUGUACAAGUAAAGUCUGCAAAUCAAACGCCAAUGGAGUCAUAAAAACUACACACAAUUAUAAGUAUUGAAUAAAAAUGAAGGAAAUAUCACAACAAUUACCUUCCAAUAUUGUAGAUUGAAAAAUAUUGACCUCUUCUUCCACGUUACAUCAGAUUGAGUUGUAUUCUUCUUCCUCUUCCGUUUCCCACUUUUUCCCCAGUCGUUUGUAAUUUUAUCAACUUCAAUAAAAUCUUCUUCACCAUUUUUUAUUUGUGGCCUAAUACCAUGUUCAAUAUGUCCAUUAAACCAACUCUUUUUCAUGCGAAAUGGAUGAUCAAACGUGAGAAAUUUUCUAUGUCCCAUGUACGCAAACUUCCUACCAUACUUCAACCAUAGUGAACAUGUACUCUCACGACAAAUGGGGCAUGCAAUUUUUCCUUUGACGGGCCACCCAGAUAUAUUUCCAAAUGCAGGAAAAUCAUGUAUUGUCCACAUCAAAAGAGCUUUUAAGUUAAAUGUAGACUUUGUAACAACGUCAUACAUAUCAACCCCAUCAUUCCAUAACAACAUUAAGUCAUCUACAAGUGGUGCCAAAUAAACAUCUAUGUCAUUACCUGGCUGAUUUGGUCUCGGGAUCAAUAAACUCAACAUCAAACUUUCCUUUGACAUGCGAAUUGAGGGAGGCAAGUUAUAUAUAGUUAAGAUUACUGGCCAACAACUGUAUUUAGAGCUAAGAUCUUUGAAAGGAUUAAAUCCAUCAGUAGCAAGACCUAAUCUAAUAUUUCGAGGAUCAGAUGUAAAAUCUAGCCACCUUCGAUUAAUCAUUUCCCAACUCAAUGAAUCAACUGGCUGCCUAAUCUUGCCGUCUGAACUUUUAUUAUUUGAGUUCCAUCGAAGUUGUGUUGACAUCUCAUAUAUUCCAAACAUCCUCUUCAGUCUUGGUAUUAUAGGAAAAUAACGCAAGACCUUGGCUGGGAUAUUUUUCUAAAUUUUUUUUGUCCAUUUUUUAAUAUUCCAUCUCGAGCAACCACAUUUUGAACAUAAUUCAGCAUGCUCAAACUCCUUUCUAUAUAGACAACAAUCAUUUAGGCAAGCAUGUAUCUUUUCAUAGCCAAGAUCAAAUGUAUUGACAAGUUUUUUCAUCUAGUAAAAUGAGUUUGGAAGUGUAUUAUUAUCUAGCAACAUGUCUCAAACAAGAUUUAUAAGUUCAUCAAAACCAUUAUCUGAUAACUCAUGUGAAGCUUUAUGCUUAAACAUUGCAACCAAAGCUGACAUCUUUGUAAAUGCCCUACAACCAGGAUAUAAAGGAGUUUCAGCAUCAUUAACUACACUUUCAAUCUCUUCAUCUCUUCCAUCAGGACGGUUUUUAGAAUCCACAUCAUGUUGUGCAUAGAAAUCCUUAAACAUCCUACUCUACUCAGGCAUUUCUACAACAUUCUGAUUUGAUGAACCUAGUUGCUCUCCAUGAAAUACCCAAGUAGUAUAUGUAGAAUCCAUACCUUUAAUAACCAAAUGUUCAUAGACUGUAUCAUAAUGAUGAUGCAUUGGAUUCCUACACUUAACACAAGGACAUACUAUCAUUUCUGAAUUGCAUUUUUUACGAGCUCGUUCAACAAAAUUCUGUGCUCCAUCGCUAUAUGGUCUUGAAAAUCUACGAGUAAAUCUUUAUGAUCAUUAUACAUUGAAAUUAUUUUCAUUUGGUAAAUGGGAUCAUAAUAUCAAAUUUCAGAUGAUAACCUUGAUAAUUGCAGCCACUCUUUGUCCAUUAUACGCAAAGCUACUAUCCAACACUGAAUAUUCAAAAAAUAGACGUUCAGGAUUAAGCUCCAACUAACAGAUAGUAACAAGACAAAGGUG